rnacentral:tRNA from 1 species
GCCUUCGUAGUAUAGUGGUCAGCACGCUCGACGCGUAACCGAGAGGUCCGUGGUUCGAUUCCCUGCGAAGGCG